CUCCCACUCCGCCAGCCUCUGGGAGAGGAGCCGCGCCCGGCCGGCCCGGCCCCCAGCCCCAUGGACCUCCGAGCAGGGGACUCGUGGGGGAUGUUAGCUUGCCUAUGCACGGUGCUGUGGCACCUCCCUGCAGUGCCAGCUCUUAAUCGCACAGGAGAUCCAGGCCCUGGCCCCUCCAUCCAGAAAACCUAUGACCUCACCCGCUACCUGGAGCAUCAACUCCGCAGCUUAGCUGGGACCUACGUAUCACAAGGCUGCAGCGCUGGAGUCGGGCAGAGCAGAUGGGCUUGAAGCCCCCCCUAGAGGUGUACCAAGUGUUGAAGGCACACCCUGAAGACCCUCACUUCCAAUGCAGCCUGUGGCAUCUCUACCCACUCUGAGGUACCCCCACGUUGUCCUUCUCUGGGCACCUCCUAGCCACCAAGAACUUCAGGACAGACAUCAUGGCCUGCUCUGCUCAUUCCAACCUUGGAGAAACAGCAGGCUGACUGUGGAGGUCUUCCUGGUUCAGCUUCUUCUCCAUCUAAACAGCAGGCUGCUGAAGCUCCUGGGACCUGUGAAGCUGAGCACCUCCACGCCCUAAUCAUGACCACCAGAUGCCCACCCGCCACACCCCUGACCUACGGUGUGGCAAAUCCAGCACAGGCUGGCAUAAACCAGAUGUCGGCAGAUAACCUAAAGGGCCCACCUUGGGCAUCUAGCUGAGGGCACAGAUGAGUGAGUUAUUGGAUCAAGGAGCUCACUAAUGCUUACAAUAAAGUACAUUAAGCCUGA